UGCAACUUUAGCUUAUUUGAUGUUAUGUGAUUUGUAAUCUUGUACCAAGCCUGUUGCAGUUUACAAAUCAUUUAUGCAACUUUUUGCCAAUUGGUGCCACGUUUCGUUGUGCCUUACAAGGCACCGCCCUUUUUCUUGGUUUUGUUUUCAUUUUACCCACACAACUCAAAACCCUAGCGAGAGAUAAAGACAGAGUUAGAGAGAUAGGGAUUUAGAAGUUUGAUGAUGAAGGUGGGUUGGCCAUUGCCUUCGGCCGAUCAUUCAGCUCUGGCGAACGACCGAGAUGCCACGCCGGUAGUGUGAUUCAGUGGUCCUUUUUUCCGCGCCUGGGGUUCCAACGACUACACUCAUAAAUAUUACCCAUGUUCCCUUUCACUACCGUUCGAUCGCCAUUGCAUUCAUUGUGUUAAAUCCCCAAAUUUUGUUUCAGAUGCUUCUUCCCUGAUAUGAGGGUUUUUGGAGACCAUGCUUCCUUAAUUACACGGUUCAACAGGUGGAGAAAACAGGAAGCUACAUCGGUUUAAGCCUGGGACUCAGGUGCUACAUGAGAUUAGGCGUUUGCAAAAGAUGGUUGAUCUGCUCAUUCCUGCUGCUCUGUUCAUUUGAACUACAUGCUGAUUCCAGACACACAACUGAAGCAGAAAAUUGAAGAAUAUGUAAGGUCACCACAAAGGAUGCAACAUUGUGAAGAGAUGAAUAUGCAAAGCUGCUUUAAAUCUUCAAUUCGUUCAGCAAAUGGUAUCGGACCUUUGAUUAGAAACUACUUUUAGACUGUUAUUUUAAAUUUGACAAAUAGUUUGAUCAAAGUUUGGAUAAAGUUAAGCAUUCGAAAAACAAUCUUAAUACGGUGUAUACCUUAUUUAUUUAUAAGAAUCAAAUUAUCAUCUUUUUAAGGUUG